ACCGGCCACAUUGGGACUGAGAUACGGCCCAGACUCCUACGGGAGGCAGCAGUGGGGAAUAUUGCACAAUGGGCGCAAGCCUGAUGCAGCGACGCCGCGUGAGGGAUGGAGGCCUUCGGGUUGUAAACCUCUUUUAUCGGGGAGCAAGCGAGAGUGAGUUUACCCGUUGAAUAAGCACCGGCUAACUACGUGCCAGCAGCCGCGGUAAUACGUAGGGUGCAAGCGUUAUCCGGAAUUAUUGGGCGUAAAGGGCUCGUAGGCGGUUCGUCGCGUCCGGUGUGAAAGUCCAUCGCUUAACGGUGGAUCCGCGCCGGGUACGGGCGGGCUUGAGUGCGGUAGGGGAGACUGGAAUUCCCGGUGUAACGGUGGAAUGUGUAGAUAUCGGGAAGAACACCAAUGGCGAAGGCAGGUCUCUGGGCCGUUACUGACGCUGAGGAGCGAAAGCGUGGGGAGCGAACAGGAUUAGAUACCCUGGUAGUCCACGCCGUAAACGGUGGAUGCUGGAUGUGGGGCCCGUUCCACGGGUUCCGUGUCGGAGCUAACGCGUUAAGCAUCCCGCCUGGGGAGUACGGCCGCAAGGCUAAAACUCAAAGAAAUUGACGGGGGCCCGCACAAGCGGCGGAGCAUGCGGAUUAAUUCGAUGCAACGCGAAGAACCUUACCUGGGCUUGACAUGUUCCCGACGGUCGUAGAGAUGCGGCUUCCCUUCGGGGCGGGUUCACAGGUGGUGCAUGGUCGUCGUCAGCUCGUGUCGUGAGAUGUUGGGUUAAGUCCCGCAACGAGCGCAACCCUCGCCCCGUGUUGCCAGCGGAUUAUGCCGGGAACUCACGGGGGACCGCCGGGGUUAACUCGGAGGAAGGUGGGGAUGACGUCAGAUCAUCAUGCCCCUUACGUCCAGGGCUUCACGCAUGCUACAAUGGCCGGUACAACGGGAUGCGACGCGGCGACGCGGAGCGGAUCCCUGAAAACCGGUCUCAGUUCGGAUCGCAGUCUGCAACUCGACUGCGUGAAGGCGGAGUCGCUAGUAAUCGCGAAUCAGCAACGUCGCGGUGAAUGCGUUCCCGGGCCUUGUACACACCGCCCGUCAAGUCAUGAAAGUGGGCAGCACCCGAAGCCGGUGGCCUAACCCCUUGUGGGAUGGAGCCGUCUAAGGUGAGGCUCGUGAUUGGGACUAAGUCGUAACAAGGUAGCCGUACCGGAAGGUGCGGCUG
rnacentral:rRNA from 1 species